CCUACGGGAGGCAGCAGUGAGGAAUAUUGGUCAAUGGACGAGAGUCUGAACCAGCCAAGUAGCGUGAAGGAUGACUGCCCUAUGGGUUGUAAACUUCUUUUAUAAAGGAAUAAAACGAGGCACGUGUGCCUUUUUGCAUGUACUUUAUGAAUAAGGAUCGGCUAACUCCGUGCCAGCAGCCGCGGUAAUACGGAGGGUCCGGGCGUUGUCCGGAUUUAUUGGGUUUAAAGGGAGCGUAGAUGGGUUGUUAAGUCAGGUGUGAAAGUUUGCGGCUCAACCGUAAAAUUGCAAUUGAUACUGGCAGUCUUGAGUACAGUUGAGGUAGGCGGAAUUCGUGGUGUAGCGGUGAAAUGCGUAGAGAUCACGAAGAACCCCGAUGGCGAAGGCAGCUUAUUAAGCUGGGACUGACAUUGAUGCUCGAAAGUGUGGGUAGCAAACAGGAUUAGAUACCCCUGUAGUC
rnacentral:rRNA from 1 species